rnacentral:RNase_P_RNA from 1 species
GUAGCGGAAUGGGCAAUCGCUGGCCUGCCAAUUUACAUUGAGCAGGCGGGAGGAAAGUCCGGGCUCCGCAGAGUGAGGCACUGGCUAACGGCCAGGAACUUGGAAGCGAUCACACGUGGAUUCGUUUCCGGGUUACGGAAAGUGCAACAGAAAAUAUACCGCCGAUGGCCGCUCGUAAGAGCGGAUCAGGUAAGGGCGAAACGGAGGUGUAAGAGACCCCCGCGCUUCUAGCGAUAGAAGUGGCACGGCAAACCCUGCCAGGAGCAAGA